rnacentral:tRNA from 1 species
AAGACACUAGUAAAAUAGCCAUUACACCACCUUGUCAAGGUGGAAUUGUAGGUUAAACUCCUGCGUGUCUUA